UGGAAUAGACAAGCCCGUGGUUGAGGGGAUAGAGGACACGUGGAGGCAGGUGAGGGGUGCUCCGGUGCUGGUGGUAGAAGAUGGGGCGGCGGCGUAUUGGAGGUGGAGGGUGGGGCCGUGGUGUGCUGGAGGAAGGGGUGCGGCGGAGCGGAGGAGGAGGAGGGCCGACCGCGGCGGGGCGGAGGAGGAGGAGGGCCGAUCGCGGCGGGGCGGAGGAGGAGGAGUACUGGCCACGGAUGGGCGGAGGAUGAGGAGGGCAGGCCGCCGCGGGACGGAGGAGGAGGAGGGUAGGCCUCGGCGGGACGGAGGACGAAGAGGGCAGGCCGUCACGGGACGGAGGAGGAGGAGGGCAGGCCUCGGCGGGGCAGAGGAUGAGGUGGGGAGACCGCGGCGGGGCGUAGAGGGGGCGCGCGGAGACUGCACGUUGCGGCGCGUCGUUGCCGGGGCCGGGGAGGGGCGAGGUCGGUGCCGGUGACGGGGCGGUAGGCACCACGAGGCUGCGGCGGGGUGGAGUAGGUCGAGUCAGCGAUGGGGACACGUCGAGCCAGCGCCGGGCGCAGAAGCACGUCCAAACACCCGGUGGUGAAAGGAGACGACCGGAGGGAGUAGCAGUCUGUGUUGCGGCGUUGGAGGUUGGAGCUCGCAGGAGAGGAGGGGUAACUAACCAAAAAACGAAAAAGUCUUAAGUGAACCCGUGUAACUACAUCAAGACAAACCCGUGGUCACGUCACACCUACCUACAGAUCAGUGAGCCGCUUUCAAGAACGUCGGCCACCGUGCUCCGAGCACCAGGCUACACAUCACGUCACGUCACAAUAAACGGGAGGCGUGACUUCAAGCGGCCGUCUACACAACUGGGGGCGCCGCGGUACGUUAGAUCAUGCACCCACGUGCGUCGUGCGGGAUGGCCGUGGCACGUCAGGUUUUCACAGCCACGUUCGUCGUGCGGUGGGUAAGGGUUCGGUUAGAGAGAAGGAGGGGUGUGUGCACGGUUUGCGAGAGAGUGUGUUGUUACCGCCUACUCUUCGAGCGGUUCGACGCGCUCCAGAGUCACACCGUCCCGCUGUCUACGUCACGCCGUCCCGCUGCCUACGUCACGCCGUUCCGCUGCCCACAUCACACCGUGAGUGCCGUCGUCGCUUGGGUGACUUGGAUAGCUCACCUACUCUUGCUACUUAGCGACGUCUUUUACCUUCCAGGGUAGGUAGUCAAGAACGUAGAAACACUACAAAAAGAUCACUAGAUCAGAUACAUUAUGAUCGUAGACUUCUUGAAAACUUCGUCUUCCUUGUUGGAGACUUUUACGUUCAAGCCUCGAGACUUAUACACAUCGUCAUGUUGUUGGGAGGAACCUACAGGCCCGAGUCGUACUUCGUCCAAUUGUACAUUUGUGCGUACCACAUCAGAACACGCUGUUGCGCAAGUUAAUUUGUCGUUUUUUGCUGUACGUCAACCGGCCGGGUACGUCAAACCACACGCUCGUUUUUGUAGUCGCACCUCAAAUCACAAAUUACGGUACCUCUACCCCUUUGUUGUUGUUUUUACACUUGAGGCGGAGGCGCUACGGAGCCGAGUGUGACGGUGACCUGGAUAAAAAUGGUAGUCUGAGUGGCCCGGUAGCGGCUGAGGGGUUCGUCAUGUGAAGGCAUGACAGUCGUGGCCGAUCUCGUUGCGAGGCUAAAAAAAGUAAGUGAAAAAAAAUGUAUGACUUCCUGUAGACACAAUUAACGUUUUCAACGGGUGAAACCGUCUUGUCGACCUUUUUUCUUUUGAUGUUACGUCACGUGAAGCUCCCUGAGGUGCCGGGUGAAGGGC
rnacentral:rRNA from 1 species